AUACUCACCUAGCAUAAGGAUACCGUUGUCAUGCAGGCGGUUCCCCAGGGUGAGGCUGCUCCAUUGCACUGCGGAGUGGUUGAUCCUUGCGAUUAUUUUCAUUUUUUAUAACUUUCACUUCUAGACUUCUACCGUGUUAGACUUGCGUCUUGCACACA